CCUACGGGUGGCAGCAGUGGGGAAUAUUGGACAAUGGGCGAAAGCCUGAUCCAGCCAUGCCGCGUGUGUGAAGAAGGCCUUCGGGUUGUAAAGCACUUUCAGUGGGGAAGAAAGCCUUGGGGCUAAUACCCUCGAGGAAGGACAUCACCCACAGAAGAAGCACCGGCUAACUCCGUGCCAGCAGCCGCGGUAAUACGGAGGGUGCGAGCGUUAAUCGGAAUUACUGGGCGUAAAGCGCGCGUAGGCGGUCUGAUAAGCCGGUUGUGAAAGCCCCGGGCUCAACCUGGGAACGGCAUCCGGAACUGUCAGGCUAGAGUGCGGGAGAGGAAGGUAGAAUUCCCGGUGUAGCGGUGAAAUGCGUAGAGAUCGGGAGGAAUACCAGUGGCGAAGGCGGCCUUCUGGACUGACACUGACGCUGAGGUGCGAAAGCGUGGGUAGCAAACAGGAUUAGAUACCCCAGUAGUC
rnacentral:rRNA from 1 species